rnacentral:rRNA from 1 species
UACGGAGGGUGCAAGCGUUAUCCGGAUUCACUGGGUUUAAAGGGAGCGUAGGUGGAGUGAAGUCAGUGGUGAAAUCUCCAGGCUUAACUGGAACUGCCGUUGAUACUAUCAAUCUUGAAUAUCGUGGAGGUGAAGCGGAAUAUGUCAUGUAGCGGUGAAAUGCUUAGAUAUGACAUAGAACACCGAUGACGAAGGCAGCUGACUACGACGAUUGACAUUGAGAC